rnacentral:lncRNA from 1 species
AAUCCUUCUAAAUAUCUUGCCAGUUUUCAGCUGGGGUACACAGUAAAUAUUUCUGGCAAUGUUAAACAACUCCAUGAACCCAAGAGGUGUUCUCAAAGGUUAAUACCUUCUCAAGAUCCAGAGUCACUCCCAAAGACAGCCAAAAGAAAGAACUGACAGCCCGCGUGUCCUAGGCAGGCAGAAAGCCAAGCCAAGCCCUUAGGACACAAAAUGAGACGAGCAAGAAGGCAAUAGCGAUCCCUGGGAGAGAAAGGGAUCUUCUGAAAAUGGACGAAAGAAAGGCUUUAUAAUUCAAAAGAUCUGUGGUCCCAGGGACACGAAUUCCUUGUGUGGGCGUCUAGGACACAGCCACAAUAGACACUGCACAGGAAGACCUGAAGCUGGCAGAGCCUUAUUCCAGAGUCCAGCAAAGCAAGUCCUACCGCCUUUUCCAGCUCUGUUGGAAUUUGUGAACUCUUGUUAAUUAGCCUCCUCAGCUGCUUGCCUACCAUGGAUUUACUCUCCCUUCUCAGAAGCAGACACAUUCCUGAAGAUUUGCGCAACCUGACCACAGAAACGUCACACUUCAAGCCCAGGUAACUAGAGGCAACCAAAUAGUGUCCAGUCAGCCAAUGGCCACUGAGCAACCAAGGGAGCCCAGAACCCUGUACGAGGCAACUGUGAUAUAUAUGGAAGAAAAGAGCAGCCCAAGCCUCCUGACUGUGUCUGGGUCACUGUCCUCAAAAAGUCCG